UGGACCUACUACGAUCUUCAUGCUAC
rnacentral:piRNA from 1 species